rnacentral:sRNA from 1 species
UACAUGCUAGCAUUGACGUGUAUACGUA